rnacentral:lncRNA from 1 species
AUGCAUGAGGAACAAAGCAUACGUUGCCUACCAGAGUCACUUCUCUCCCCUGCCCUUAGAGACAGGGCCUGCAAAUCUAAUGGGAAGGCUGUCCGGUUACCAUGGGAACCAGCUGGGAGUGGCCAACGUGGACGGGAAAUCUUAAUCACUUUAACAGAAGAAAAGUGUAAACAUGUGAGCUACUUUCUAAAAUAUGGCAACUAUCCUCAACGUCAUGAGUCUAUGGAUCUGCCCCCUCUCCUUUGA